ensembl:lncRNA
UCACCACUCCUGCCAUAGAUGAUCUCCACGUCUUCCUCGUCUGGUCUCGUCUCUCUGUGUAUGAGGACUUACCUGUCUUCAAUCAGUCUUCCCUAAAACCUCCACUACACACCUGUCAGCACCUGUAACAAACAACUGUUUAUGCUCAAGUGUCAGAGAUCAGAAUGACGAGGAGGAAGGAGGCGACGGUCACACUGAGAGAGAGAGAGAGAGAGAGAGAGAGAAACAGGAAAACAUGACAGGGAUCCGACUGGAAAAGGGUGUGACACGAGCGGCCCUGAGCCAGAUGUGAAGAGAUGAGAUGAGUUUUCAAUAUAGUACAAAAGAUUUCCAAUACAGCUCCCAGAGAUGAGCAGCAUCAGGCCCAGAAUAUCUCCUCCUCACACAAGAUUAAACACGAGCACAGAAGCACAAAUGAUGAUUCAUUUUCUUAUCCACAUUGUUUGUGUUUGUGGUGAAGUUGAUCGUGUUUACCCCGGAACAAAGGGAAAAUGAACAAAGGCUUUGUUCAAAUACCUGGAUGACCUGAAGCCAAUCACACUUUGCAAAAGAGAC